rnacentral:lncRNA from 1 species
GAGACAAAAGUUUUUCAACGAGUACAAAAGACUAGCCACUGCAGUACACAAGUCUACCCAGGGGCCUACAACUCUUCUAGGGUGAUGAAGUCCGUCAUCUUCUCAGCAAUGGGCUCCACUUCAUCGAGAUACUCCGUAUAUGCUCCAUCGCUGCAAGUCCGAGCAAUCCCAUCCGCCGCUGCAGCUAAGUCCACCCUCGGAUAGUAUGACUUCACCACGGCUAGCACUUGCCUACAGACAGUUUUGGCCAAGCUGGCGACUUUGGCAGGUGCUGCCCUCAACCUCUCGACUAAGGGUCGAGU